rnacentral:rRNA from 1 species
CCUACGGGCGGCAGCAGUGAGGAAUAUUGGGCAAUGGAGGCAACUCUGACCCAGCCAUGCCGCGUGAGUGAAGAAGGUUUUCGGAUUGUAAAGCUCUUUCGGAUGUGACGAUGAUGACGGUAGCAUCUAAAGAAGCCCCGGCUAACUUCGUGCCAGCAGCCGCGGUAAUACGGGGGAUGCGAGCGUUAUCCGGAUUUAUUGGGUUUAAAGGGUGCGUAGGCGGCGCUUCAGGUCAGCGGUGAAAUACCGGGGCUCAACCCCGGGGCUGCCGUUGAAACCGGAGCGCUAGAAUUCCGAUGCCGUCGGAGGAAUGUGUGGUGUAGCGGUGAAAUGCAUAGAUAUCACACAGAACACCGAUUGCGAAGGCAUCUGACGAAUCGGAGAUUGACGCUGAUGCACGAAAGCGUGGGUAUCGAACAGGAUUAGAUACCCCGGUAGUC